UAAUAAAGGCAAAAUCGUUGAAAAACGAUGACGCAAAGCUAUGAGUCUAAGACAGAAAGCUGUUAUGAUUGUCAGGCUGCAAA
rnacentral:ncRNA from 1 species